rnacentral:rRNA from 1 species
AUUGGACGCUGGCGGCAGGCCUAACACAUGCAAGUCGAGCGGAUGAAGGGAGCUUGCUCCUGGAUUCAGCGGCGGACGGGUGAGUAAUGCCUAGGAAUCUGCCUGGUAGUGGGGGAUAACGUCCGGAAACGGGCGCUAAUACCGCAUACGUCCUGAGGGAGAAAGUGGGGGAUCUUCGGACCUCACGCUAUCAGAUGAGCCUAGGUCGGAUUAGCUAGUUGGUGGGGUAAAGGCCUACCAAGGCGACGAUCCGUAACUGGUCUGAGAGGAUGAUCAGUCACACUGGAACUGAGACACGGUCCAGACUCCUACGGGAGGCAGCAGCGGGGAAUAUUGGACAAUGGGCGAAAGCCUGAUCCAGCCAUGCCGCGUGUGUGAAGAAGGUCUUCGGAUUGUAAAGCACUUUAAGUUGGGAGGAAGGGCAGUAAGUUAAUACCUUGCUGUUUUGACGUUACCAACAGAAUAAGCACCGGCUAACUUCGUG